rnacentral:rRNA from 1 species
UGACGAGUUUGAUCCUGGCUCAGAUUGAACGCUGGCGGAAUGCUUUACACAUGCAAGUCGAACGGUAGAGGGGGCAACCCCUCGAGAGUGGCGAACGGGUGAGUAAUAUAUCGGAACGUGCCCAGUCGUGGGGGAUAACGUAGCGAAAGUUACGCUAAUACCGCAUACGAUCUACGGAUGAAAGUCGGGGGAACUCGGCAAGAGCCUCGCGCGAUUGGAGCGGCCGAUAUCAGAUUAGGUAGUUGGUGGGGUAAAGGCUCACCAAGCCAACGAUC